rnacentral:rRNA from 1 species
UUGGAGGGCAAGUCUGGUGCCAGCAGCCGCGGUAAUUCCAGCUCCAAUAGCGUAUAUUAAAGUUGUUGCAGUUAAAAAGCUCGUAGUUGAAUUUCGGGGUUAGUAGGCUGGUCAUGCCUCCGGUAUGUACUGGUCUCACUGAUUCCUCCUUCCUGAUGAACCUUAAUGCCAUUAAUUUGGUGUUUUGGGAAAUUUGGACUGUUACUUUGAAAAAAUUAGAGUGUUUAAAGCAAGCUAACGCUUGAAUACAUUAGCAUGGAAUAAUGAAAUAGGACGUUCGAUCCUAUUUUGUUGGUUUCUAGGAUUGACGUAAUGAUUAAUAGGGAUAGUUGGGGGCAUUAGUAUUCAAUUGUCAGAGGUGAAAUUCUUGGAUUUAUUGAAGACUAACUACUGCGAAAGUAUUUGCCAAGGAUGUUUUCAUUAAUCAAGAACGAAAGUUAGGGGAUCGAAGACGAUCAGAUACCGUCGUAGUCUUAACCAUAAACUAUGCCGACUAGGGAUCGGAUGAUGUUAAUUUUUUAAUGACUCAUUCGGCGCCUUACGGGAAAC